rnacentral:miRNA from 1 species
UGGAACUUAUUUUGAACAGG